rnacentral:rRNA from 1 species
AUCGAACGCUGGCGGCAUGCCUAAUACAUGCAAGUCGAGCGGAGCGGCGGACGGGUGAGUAAUGCCUAGGGAUCCGCCUGGUAGUGGGGGAUCACGUCCGGAAACGGGCGCUAAUACAGCAUACUUUAAGAUGAGCUUAGGUGGGAUUAGCUAGUUGGUGGGGUAACGGCCUACCAAGGCGACGAUCCGUAACUGGUCUGAGAGGAUGAUCAGUCACACUGGGACUGAGACACGGUCCAGACUCCUACGGGAGGCAGCAGUGGGGAAUCUUGGGCAAUGGGCGAAAGCCUGAUCCAGCCAUGCCGCGUGAGUGAAGAAGGUCUUCGGAUUGUAAAGCACUUUUGUUUGGGAGGCGUUACCAACCGAAUAAGCACCGGCUAACUACGUGCCAGCAGCCGCGGUAAUAC